rnacentral:rRNA from 1 species
GCCGCGGUACCCUGACCGUGCAAAGGUAGCACAAUACUUGCCUUAUAAUUGAAGGCUGGAAUGAAUGGUUUGACAAGAGUGUAGCUGUCUCAUUAUAAUUUAAUAGAAUUUUAUUUUAGGAUGAAAAAGUCCUAAUUUAAUUAAAAGACAAGAAGACCCUAUCGAGCUUAAAGUUAAUUAAUAAAAAAUCACUAUUUAUAAAAAUUAGUUAUUAAAAAUUUUGGUUGGGGCAACUAAGGAGCAAUAAAAGCCUCUUUUUAAAAAUUAUACAAACUAGUAAAGAUCCAAUAAUUUUGAUCAAAGAAAAUAGUUACCGUAGGGAUAACAGCAUUAUCUUUUUUGAGAGCUCUUAUCGAAAAAAA